UACGAAGGGGGCUAGCGUUGUUCGGAAUCACUGGGCGUAAAGCGCACGCAGGCGGAUCGAUAAGUCGGGGGUGAAAGCCCGGGGCUCACCCUCGGAAUUGCCUUCGAUACUGUCGGUCUCGAGUCCGGGAGAGGUGAGUGGAAUUCCUAGUGUAGAGGUGAAAUUCGUAGAUAUUAGGAAGAACACCAGUGGCGAAGGCGGUUCAAUGGCCCGGUACUGACGCUCAGGUGCGAAAGCGUGGGGAGCACCCAGG
rnacentral:rRNA from 1 species